rnacentral:tRNA from 1 species
GUUAGAAGAUGACGCAAAUGAUGAGAAAUAGU